UACGGAGGGUGCAAACGUUGCUCGGAAUCAUUGGGCGUAAAGCGCACGUAGGCGGCCUGAUAAGUCGGGUGUGAAAGCCCUGGGCUCAACCCAGGAAGUGCACUCGAAACUGUCAGGCUUGAAUAUGGAAGAGGGUCGCGGAAUUCCCGGUGUAGAGGUGAAAUUCGUAGAUAUUCGCAAGAACACCAGUGGCGAAGGCGGCUCACUGGCCCGGUACUGACGCUGAGGUGCGAAAGCGUGGGGAGCAAACAGG
rnacentral:rRNA from 1 species